UCACUGGUAACGGUGAAUCUGAAGGAAGCCCGAGGCAAAGUCCGGAACUGAACGAAAGUGAACCAGGGAUGGCCGUUACAGUAGGGUAACCCUGCCAGAUAAGGGAAAGCCCUGACUCCAGCUGUAAAGGUUUGGAUGGCAGGAUUCGGAUGAAAGUGGUGUAU
rfam:Mesotoga prima MesG1.Ag.4.2, complete genome.